UACGAAGGGUGCAAACGUUGCUCGGAAUUAUUGGGCGUAAAGAGCUCGUAGGCGGUUUGGUGAGUCGGGUGUGAAAUCUCCACGCUCAACGUGGAGGAGCCACCCGAUACUGCCAUGACUGGAGUCCGGUAGGGGAGUGUGGAAUUCCCGGUGUAGCGGUGAAAUGCGCAGAUAUCAGGAGGAACACCGGUGGCGAAGGCGGCCUUCUGGACAGUGACUGACGCUGAGACGCGAAAGCGUGGGGAGCAAACAGG
rnacentral:rRNA from 1 species